GGUUUACUUCUAUAAUAUAUUAAUAUCUAUCCACUAUCCGGUAUGUUCUAGUUGCCAAUAAUUACUCUGAUUCAUUGGUCCUUACCGUUUAUUUCACCUAGCCACCCUCCUCUGCUUACCUUCCAUGCCUUUGUCAUGUAAAGGAGGAUAAAGAAUAAAAAGAAAUGAGUGAAGAAUCCUGUAUACGGGAAGAGGAGUGGCCCAAACGAGUUGUGGAUUAGCAUUUAGCGAUUGGCAGAAUCUUAGUAGACAACAUUAUUUACAGCCCGACCGAAAAAAGAAGACAAGCAGAAUCAAAACAAAAGAGGGGACAAUGGCCAUUGGCCAACAAUGUAUCUGAUUUACCACCAUACUGCAAUGUUCUAAACACGAAUCAUCACACAUUGUGAACAUCCUCAUAAUUAUCUUUUAUUCUCUUUGAUGUGUUAUGUUGAAAAUACCUUUUCUAUUU